rnacentral:rRNA from 1 species
CAGUCGCCGCGGUAAUACGGAGGAUCCAAGCGUUAUCCGGAUUUAUUGGGUUUAAAGGGUGCGUAGGCGGCCUAUUAAGUCAGGGGUGAAAGACGGUAGCUUAACUAUCGCAGUGCCUUUGAUACUGAUGGGCUUGAAUGCAGCUGAGGUAGGCGGAAUGUGACAAGUAGCGGUGAAAUGCAUAGAUAUGUCACAGAACACCGAUUGCGAAGGCAGCUUACUAAAGUGUGAUUGACGCUGAGGCACGAAAGCGUGGGGAUCAAACAGGAUUAGAUACCCCGGUAGUCCCUGUCUCUUAUAC